rnacentral:rRNA from 1 species
UUGGUUUGUACUUGGAUGGGAGACCGCCUGGGAAUACCAGGUGCUGUAAGCCUUUUC